UAGUGAUGCGCGAAAUUACACAGAUGGUAAAAACCCAUGUGAUUAUUCACGAAGCUUACGCAGAUGUCUCAUAUAAAUAGGAGUAAACAGUCAAGCCGUGGUUAGAACCUGGUUAUGGUUUCACUCCCAGUACUCGGAUAAAGCUACGGAUGUGCGGAAAAAUCGACAGCGGUUCAGAGAAAACAUGAAAAGUGGACCAGAGGUUGAUGCCUGAUGUACGAUAGUUACCUGACAUUGCUGUCAGCUCCCCUGCCCCGUGCUACAAGUGAAGAAGUCCUGAAAUCCACACCUAAGACACCAUUAUUGUGGAGAGUUUGAGACGAGUGGCGAAUCCAAAACCUACCAGUCCAAGGGAACCUCAAACACCAAACAAAACAAACUGAUAGUCAUGGGUAAUGUAAUUGCCAAGGAUCCUGAUUUUUGGUGCUCUACCGACGAUCCGGGUCCAGAAAGACAUAACGCAGAUUGGAUGAAGAGAGUAUCUGAUUCUAAGUUUCUUUCAGAGUUGUCCAUUCCUGGCACACAUGAUACUAUGACUUGUUCUUAUAGUGGAGUAGAGGGACUAUGGGUUUGGUGUCAGAGUUGGUCAUUAGGCAUUCAGCUGAAUAUGGGAAUAAGAUUUCUUGACAUUCGAUGUCAAGCUUCCAAUGGUGAUAUGUUACUCAAUCACGGUGGCUAUUACCUUGGUACUCUGUUGGAUACAUUGAACGGCUGUGUCAACUUUCUUCAAACUCAGCCAAGUGAAUGCAUUAUCUUACGGAUUAAACAAGAAAACAGUAGUUUAGAAGGACUUGGGUUUAGGGAUGCGAUGUUUCCCUUCUUGGAGAGGUUUUCGGAUCAUAUAUUUUUCAAAACAUCAAUGCUAACCCUUGGCGAAGCAAGAGGGAAGAUGGUUAUUCUGGCAGACUAUGAUAUGGAUGGAAACGAUCAUAUCAUGAGGUAUGGAUGUGGAAUGUCCAUCUGUGACAACUGGGAACCCGACUCAAAAGAACAAAAAAUUGAUGGCAUUAAAGAUAACAUAAACAGCGCAUUCUCAGCUGUAAGGGAUAGAAAAGAAAUGUACAUCACUUUCACAAGCUAUACAUGGUUAGCGGAUUGCCCACGGGAGUUAGCACGUUCUGCAAAUCCUAUAGCGCAUGAUUUUGUCAGAAAUCACAUUGGUUGCCUUGGCAUUUUUGUCAUGGACUAUCCAGGAUUUCAAAUUAUUCGAGACAUUAUUGAUCACAACUGAAGGCUAAAUGUUAAUUAACCAUACACACAUACAUACACACUAUGCAUAUGCUUAUUAGUUUAUGUGAACUAUGUCUAUUCGGUAAUGUGAACUAGUUUUAAUAUCACAGGAAAAGUGUCAUACUGAUUGACAUUCAUGAAUACAUGUGCCUGUUUUUCUAAAUCAAAUGCAAAAUAUUAAACAUUGAAUUCUA